rnacentral:rRNA from 1 species
UACGUAGGUGUCAAGCGUUGUCCGGAUUUAUUGGGCGUAAAGAGCUCGUAGGCGGUUCGAUAAGUCGGGUGUGAAAACUCUGGGCUCAACUCAGAGACGCCACCCGAUACUGUCGUGACUUGAGUCUGGUAGGGGAGUGUGGAAUUCCCGGUGUAGCGGUGAAAUGCGCAGAUAUCGGGAGGAACACCAGUGGCGAAGGCGGCACUCUGGGCCAGUACUGACGCUGAGGAGCGAAAGCGUGGGGAGCGAACAGG